rnacentral:rRNA from 1 species
ACUGCUCAGUAACACGUGGACAACCUACCCAAAAGUCCGGGAUAACCCCGGGAAACUGGGGAUAAUACCGGAUAGAUCAAACUUGCUGGAAGGCUGUUUGGUUGAAACUUCCGGGGCUUUUGGAUGGGUCUGCGGCUGAUUAGGUUGUUGCCGGUGUAACGUACCGUCAAGCCUGUAAUCAGUACGGGUUGUGGGAGCAAGAGCCCGGAGAUGGAUUCUGAGACACGAAUCCAGGCCCUACGGGGCGCAGCAGGCGCGAAAACUCUACAAUGCAGGCAACUGCGAUAGGGGAACAUCGAGUGAUCCUCAUAUUGGGGGUCUGUCCACCCGUCUAAAAAACGGGUGUUAGCAAGGGCCGGGCAAGACCGGUGCCAGCCGCCGCGGUAAUACCGGCGGCUCGAGUGGUGGCCGAUAUUAUUGAGUCUAAAGGGUCCGUAGCCGGCUUUGCAAGUCUCUCGGGAAAUCCAGCGGCUUAACCGUUGGUCGUCCGGGGGGUACUACAUUGCUUGGGACUGGGAGAGGUAGGAGGUACUCAGGGGGUAGGAGUGAAAUCCUGUAAUCCUCUGGGGACCACCGGUGGCGAAGGCGUCCUACCAGAACAGGUCCGACGGUGAGGGACGAGAGCUAGGGGCACGAACCGGAUUAGAUACCCGGGUAGUCCUAGCCGUAAACGAUGCUCGCUAGGUGUCACAACAGUCGUGAACUGUUGUGGUGCCGUAGGGAAGCCGUGAAGCGAGCCACUUGGGAAGUACGACCGCAAGGUUGAAACUUAAAGGAAUUGGCGGGGGAGCAC